AGUGAACGCUGGCGGUAGGCCUAACACAUGCAAGUCGAACGGCAGCACAGUAAGAGCUUGCUCUUACGGGUGGCGAGUGGCGGACGGGUGAGGAAUACAUCGGAAUCUACUUUUUCGUGGGGGAUAACGUAGGGAAACUUACGCUAAUACCGCAUACGACCUACGGGUGAAAGCAGGGGAUCUUCGGACCUUGCGCGAUUGAAUGAGCCGAUGUCGGAUUAGCUAGUUGGCGGGGUAAAGGCCCACCAAGGCGACGAUCCGUAGCUGGUCUGAGAGGAUGGUGAGCCACCUGUGAACUGGAGCAGCGACCCAGCCCCUACGGGAGGCCGCAGGGGGGAAUUUGGGACAAAGGGGGGAAACCUUGCCCAACCAGACCGGGGGGGAUGAAGAAGCCCUGCGGGUGGAAAGCCGUUUUUGUGGGAAAAAAAAACCAGCAGGUGAAACCCCGCUUUUGUGACGGUACCCAAAAAAAAAGCCCCGGCUAACUUCGUG
rnacentral:rRNA from 1 species